ACACAAUCUUAAAAUCUUCUCAUCUUAGAAGAUUCUUUCCAAGAAUUUCUUUUAACCUAUAAAAGAUAAUGGAAUAUAUUUUAUAGAUUGGAUUUUAUCUUAUCCCCUUUCCAUCUCCAGGCUGCACUCGAUUUAAUAGUUGUCAGUUUUCCCUCAAUGUUGGAUUUAAUUAUAUAGGAACAAAACUUUCCUCAGUAAAUUAGCUUGCUAAAUAUUCUGUCACUUUUGUGAUUCUGCCUUUGAGAAAUAGCUUAAUUACGGAAAUCUAUCU
ensembl:misc_RNA